GGUACUGCUUGAGAAAAUAAUGGAACAUUUAAAUUGUAAGUCCUCUUCAUGCAGCAGUCAUAUAUAAAUCUCUAUCAGACAAAAAACUAAGAAAUUAGCUUGCAUGCAGCUUCUCCUUUGAUCUCACUGUGGUGGGACUGCUGCUACUGAACUUUAAAAUGUUCUUUCCAAAUUUAACUGCUACUGGUUAACUCUUGCCUUUCUUU
rnacentral:misc_RNA from 1 species